rnacentral:miRNA from 1 species
AAGGCGGCGGCGGCGGCUC